rnacentral:rRNA from 1 species
GAUGAACGCUGGCGGCGUGCCUAAUACAUGCGAGUCGAACGCUGGAGACCUAGCUUGCUAGAUCGAAGGAGUAGCGAACGGGUGAGUAAUACAUAAGCAACCUACCCACGAAGACUGGGAUAAUCUCUGGAAACGGGGACUAAUACCGGAUAGGUAAUCGGAAGGCAUCUUCUGGUUAUUAAAUUUUAAAAACACUGUUGGAUGGUCUUAUGUCGCAUUAGUUAGUUGGUGAGGUAACAGCCCACCAUGACGGUGAUGCGUAGCCGGCCUGAGAGGGUGAACGGCGACAUUGGGACUGCGACACGGCCCAGACUCCUACGGGAGGCAGCAGUAGGGAAUUGUCGGCAAUGGGGGCAACCCUGACCGAGCAACGCCGCGUGAGUGAAGACGGCGUUCGGGUUGUAAAGCUCUGUUGUAAGGGAAGAACGGUAGAUAGAGAAUAUCUAAGUGACGGUACCUUACCAGAAAGCCACGGCUAACUACGUG